rnacentral:rRNA from 1 species
UACAGAGGUCCCAAGCGUUGUUCGGAUUCACUGGGCGUAAAGGGUGCGUAGGCGGUUGGGUAAGUCUGAUGUGAAAUCUCACAGCUUAACUGUGAAACUGCAUUGGAUACUAUCCGGCUAGAGGAAUGGAGGGGAGACUGGAAUACUUGGUGUAGCAGUGAAAUGCGUAGAUAUCAAGUGGAACACCAGUGGCGAAGGCGAGUCUCGUGGACAUUUCCUGACGCUGAGGCACGAAAGCCAGGGGGAGCAAACGGG